GGGACUAUAGCUCAGCUGGGAGAGCCCCUGCCUUGGACGCAGGUCGUCUGCCGUUGGAUCCCGCAUAGCUCCACCA
rnacentral:tRNA from 1 species